GCUUUUUUAGCACAGUGGUAGUGCGUCAGUCUUGUAACGCUUAGUAAACCGAAGGUCUUUGGUUUGAUCCCCACCAUACAGCG